rnacentral:rRNA from 1 species
CCUACGGGCGGCAGCAGUGGGGAAUAUUGGACAAUGGGCGAAAGCCUGAUCCAGCCAUGCCGCGUGUGUGAAGAAGGCCUUCGGGUUGUAAAGCACUUUCAGUGGGGAAGAAAGCCUUGGGGCUAAUACCCUCGAGGAAGGACAUCACCCACAGAAGAAGCACCGGCUAACUCCGUGCCAGCAGCCGCGGUAAUACGGAGGGUGCGAGCGUUAAUCGGAAUUACUGGGCGUAAAGCGCGCGUAGGCGGUCUGAUAAGCCGGUUGUGAAAGCCCCGGGCUCAACCUGGGAACGGCAUCCGGAACUGUCAGGCUAGAGUGCAGGAGAGGAAGGUAGAAUUCCCGGUGUAGCAGUGAAAUGCGUAGAGAUCGGGAGGAAUACCAGUUGCGAAGGCGGCCUUCUGGACUGACACUGACGCUGAGGUGCGAAAGCGUGGGUAGCAAACAGGAUUAGAUACCCUGGUAGUC